rnacentral:rRNA from 1 species
AGUGAACGCUGGCGGUAGGCCUAACACAUGCAAGUCGAACGGCAGCACAGUAAGAGCUUGCUCUUACGGGUGGCGAGUGGCGGACGGGUGAGGAAUACAUCGGAAUCUACUUUUUCGUGGGGGAUAACGUAGGGAAACUUACGCUAAUACCGCAUACGACCUACGGGUGAAAGCAGGGGAUCUUCGGACCUUGCGCGAUUGAAUGAGCCGAUGUCGGAUUAGCUAGUUGGCGGGGUAAAGGCCCACCAAGGCGACGAUCCGUAGCUGGUCUGAGAAGAUGAUCAGCCACACUGGAACUGAGACACGGGCCAGACUCCUACGGGAGGCAGCAGUGAGGAAUAUUGGACAAUGGGCGCAAGCCUGAUCCAGCCAUACCGCGUGGGUGAAGAAGGCCUUCGGGUUGUAAAGCCCUUUUGUUGAGAAAGAAAAGCAGCAGGUUAAUACCCCGCUGUUCUGACGGUGCCCAAAGAAUAAGCACCGGCUAACUUCGUG